rnacentral:rRNA from 1 species
UACGUAGGGUGCGAGCGUUGUCCGGAAUUAUUGGGCGUAAAGAGCUCGUAGGCGGUGUGUCGCGUCGGCCGUGAAAACCUGGGGCUCAACUCUGGGCGUGCGGUCGAUACGGGCAUCACUUGAGUUCGGCAGGGGAGACUGGAAUUCCUGGUGUAGCGGUGAAAUGCGCAGAUAUCAGGAGGGAACACCGGUGGCGAAGGCGGGUCUCUGGGCCGAUGAUUGACGCUGGAGGGAGCGAAAGCGUGGGGAGCGAACAGG